CAAAGUCCCAGACCCCAGGCAGGGCCGACCAUCCAUUUUACAGCCAGCAUGUUUGUUCUUCUUCACCUUGGUUCCUGUAAGAGUCAGACAUCUGAUGUACAGGUCAAAGGGAAAGGAAAUGGCAAUCCCAGCUGAGGACGAGGAUAUAACCUAUGAACAUUCUCUGGUGUGAGAGGGAAAGAAUGGAUCACUCAGUUAUUCCUCCCUUUCUGGGAGGUAGUUUUCUUUUCCAAAGACAACACUGAGAGGCUGGGAUGGAAAUGUAGGGUACACGUGCAUAAAUCCUGCAACAUCCCUUGUUGAUCUGAAAAGGAUUGCCUUCUUCUUGCCCAUGUUGUCAAGAAGGAAAUGGAACAAAGGCCUAUUUGUAAUGCUGAUGAGGAAAUGGAACAAAGGCCUAUUUGCAAUGCAGAGAGGCUUAUUAACCAGCCAAUCCCAAUCAGUCAAGUAUGAGUGUCCAUAUGGAGGAGAAUGUCAACACUGGUACACAUGGUGUCUAAUCAGAGAGCAGCUCCUGACCUAGGCAGUAAUCAUGACAAGUGGCCAUCCACUGGCCAUAAAGCACAACACAGCUGGUGUAAAAGUGUCCCCAGAGCACACAGCCAGCAGCAGGUGUGGCAGCCAGAGCUUAACAUCUUGCUGAUACAGUCAGUGAGUUAUUGCUUUAUUACUCUUCAUUUCCCCACUCUGUCCACUUCACUGAAACUGCAGCAGCAGACAAAGGAAACCACCUGUCUGAACAAUGAUAAGAGAAGAGGAGAACAAAUGC
ensembl:lncRNA